rnacentral:piRNA from 1 species
UGCACAUAUAUGUCCAGAUGGCCUGCA